CCUACGGGUGACAGCAGUGGGGAAUAUUGGGCAAUGGGCGCAAGCCUGACCCAGCAAAGCCGCGUGAAGGAAGAAGGCUCACGGGUUGGAAACUUCUUUUAGCAGGGACGAAGCAAGUGACGGUACCUGAUGAAUAAGCCACGGCUAACUACGUGCCAGCAGCCGCGGUAAUACGUAGGUGGCAAGCGUUAUCCGGAUUUACUGGGUGUAAAGGGCGUGUAGGCGGGAAAGCAAGUCAGAUGUGAAAACCAUGAGCUCAACCUGUGGCCUGCAUUUGAAACUGUCUGUCUUGAGUACUGGAGAGGCAGACGGAAUGCCUAGUGUAGCGGUGAAAUGCGUAGAUAUUAGGAGGAACUCCAGUUGCGAAGGCGGUCUGCUGG
rnacentral:rRNA from 1 species